GACGAACGCUGGCGGCGUGCUUAACACAUGCAAGUCGAACGGUAAGGCCCUUCGGGAUACACGAGUGGCGAACGGGUGAGUAACACGUGGGUGAUCUGCCCUGCACUUCGGGAUAAGCCUGGGAAACUGGGUCUAAUACCGGAUAGGACCACUGCCUGCAUGGGGGGUGGUGGAAAGCUUUUGCGGUGUGGGAUGGGCCCGCGGCCUAUCAGCUUGUUGGUGGGGUGAUGGCCUACCAAGGCGACGACGGGUAGCCGGCCUGAGAGGGUGACCGGCCACACUGGGACUGAGAUACGGCCCAGACUCCUACGGGAGGCAGCAGUGGGGAAUAUUGCACAAUGGGCGCAAGCCUGAUGCAGCAACGCCGCGUGAGGGAUGACGGCCUUCGGGUUGUAAACCUCUUUCAGCACCGACGAAGCGCAAGUGACGGUAGGUGCAGAAGAAGGACCGGCCAACUACGUGCCAGCCGCCGCGGUAA
rnacentral:rRNA from 1 species